UACGUUUCGCUAGUACUUACAGGAUUCCCCUAAUACUUAACAAGGAUUCCCCUAAUACUUAACAAGGAUUCCCCUAAUACUUAAUGGGGAUUCCCCUUGUAAUUGGACAUGAUUCCAGGGUGAAAAUCCCGUACUUGCCCUGGAACUUCAUGCUUUGCGAUUACGCUCCAAGAGUCGAGUAGUUUGGGAUUGCUGCUCUAAAUGGGUGGUAGACUCCAUCUAAAGCUAAAUAUCGGGGAGAGACCGAUAGCGAACAAGUACCGUGAGGGAAAGAUGAAAAGCACUUUGGAAAGAGAGUUAAAAGUACGUGAAAUUGUCGAAAUGGAAGCGCUUGAAGUCAGCCAUGCGGCUGGGGACUCACCUUGGCGUCUCGCUGAGGGUAUUUCUCCAGUAGCAAGUCAGCAUUGGUUUGCGGCGCCGGAGAAGGGCCUAGGGAAGGUGGCACCCUCGGGUGUGUUAUAGCCCUGGACUGGA
rnacentral:rRNA from 1 species